UUCAUUUCUUCAAUUAUAACUCAAAGUCUUCAAGAUAUUUGUGUCUACGCCACAAUCACUACUUAUUUGACACUCGUAUAUGCCAUCCUUCUGCUCUCGUAAUAAGUGACAGCGCUGACGUAUGAAGCAGUGGUUGUUUUUCUCCUCAAGUUGGAGCGCGUUCCGAAGUCAACAAAAAAUCGGUGCACAUACCUUUUAGUUCACGAGUGUACAUUCAUUGAAUGUCCGGUGCUGUCUGGGGUGCUCGUGGUUCAAGCAUAACACUCUUAAGGUAAAGAAAAGAAGAACGGUACUCGUGGUUCAAGCACUGCGUUCUGGAAAAAGAAUGAAGGUGAUAAUCAGUGAGGGAAGAGAGGCUCAAGAUCCUUUAGCAAACGGCUGGCCAAAGGCUCAGCGAAAGACUGUCUAAAGACUGGUUAGAGGCUAAUAAGAGACUGCCUGCGCGCGAAGGGCCGAGCCCUUUUUAUACCCAAGCCCGACACUAUGGA